GGGGGAUAUUGCACAAUGGGGGAAACCCUGAUGCAGCGACGCCGCGUGGAGGAAGAAGGUUUUCGGAUUGUAAACCUCUGUUCUUAGUGACGAUAAUGACGGUAGCUAAGGAGAAAGCUCCGGCUAACUACGUGCCAGCAGCCGCGGUAAUACGUAGGGAGCGAGCGUUGUCCGGAUUUACUGGGUGUAAAGGGUGCGUAGGCGGCGAGGCAAGUCAGGCGUGAAAUCUAUGGGCUUAACCCAUAAACUGCGCUUGAAACUGUUUUGCUUGAGUGAAGUAGAGGUAGGCGGAAUUCCCGGUGUAGCGGUGAAAUGCGUAGAGAUCGGGAGGAACACCAGUGGCGAAGGCGGCCUACUGGGCUUUAACUGACGCUGAAGCACGAAGGCAUGGGUAGCAAACAGGAUUAGAUACCCUGGUAGUCCAUGCCGUAAACGAUGAUUACUAGGUGUGGGGGGUCUGACCCCCUCCGUGCCGCAGUUAACACAAUAAGUAAUCCACCUGGGGAGUACGGCCGCAAGGUUGAAACUCAAAGGAAUUGACGGGGGCCCGCACAAGCAGUGGAGUAUGUGGUUUAAUUCGAAGCAACGCGAAGAACCUUACCAGGUCUUGACAUCCGUCUAACGAAGCAGAGAUGCAUAAGGUGCCCUUCGGGGAAAGGCGAGACAGGUGGUGCAUGGUUGUCGUCAGCUCGUGUCGUGAGAUGUUGGGUUAAGUCCCGCAACGAGCGCAACCCUUGUUUCUAGUUGCUACGCAAGAGCACUCUAGAGAGACUGCCGUUGACAAAACGGAGGAAGGUGGGGACGACGUCAAAUCAUCAUGCCCCUUAUGACCUGGGCCACACACGUACUACAAUGGCUGUAAACAGAGGGAAGCAAAGCCGCGAGGUGGAGCAAAACCCUAAAAGCAGUCCCAGUUCGGAUCGCAGGCUGCAACCCGCCUGCGUGAAGUCGGAAUUGCUAGUAAUCGCGGAUCAGCAUGCCGCGGUGAAUACGUUCCCG
rnacentral:rRNA from 1 species